GUUGAAACUAAGGUACAGAAAAGUCAAGUGACUUGCCCAACCUCACACAACUAGUAAGGAGCAGAGCUGAGAUUUGGUGUCAUAGAUGUACCAAGAUGCUGCUGUAUUAAUUAAAGCAGAACCCAUGGAUGAAUACCAUCUGGUCCUGGUGAUUUACUGCACAGAGUCCCUCAAGUUGCUCCUACCUUUCUCCUCAGAGACCGAAGAAUCUCUGUCAAGGCCGUUCUCUGCUUUGCCAUAAAAUGUGUCCUUGGAACAGGAAUUUCCCCAUUGUCUUCUCCAAUAAAUACUGAUUCAAAAUAUUCAUUUA